UUGUAUUUCAAAAUAUUUUUUAAAAAAUUGAUGAAUUGACAACUAUUUUGACAGCGGUCUUUAUAGAUGUACUGUUUUAUUAAUAUUGGCAUAGAACUGAAUAGUUCUUAUAGUGCAUUUUUAUUACAUUGACUGAGAAUAAAAGUUGCAGUACUUUUAAUUUCAGGAUAUCUUGAUUGACAAAUGCUAUCAAGAUUUUCUAAAAUCAUUGAAUAAAGUUAAUUCAAGGGAUAAAAGUUGAUAGGUUUAAUAUUUAGUUCUUUAUUGUGCGUUUUAAGUUUUGAUAUUUUUUCGGCAAGAAUAUAUCUUGUAUAUGGACUUGAGGUAUAGAAAAUAGAAAUUUUAUGUGAUCAGGAAUUUUCAUGUUUUACUGGUUUUUUUUUAAUAAAUUGCCUGUUAUUUGUUCCAACAUUUAAAAUAUGUCAACAACAUGUUCACUUGAAAAUCAAUCCACCUUUAGGAGCUAAUAAGCAUUUCAUUUGAACACAUGAUGUAGAAUUAUGAAAAGAAUUGAUUAAAUUUUAAAAUU
rnacentral:sRNA from 1 species